rnacentral:misc_RNA from 1 species
GGCAUAUGAUCAAACAACCAACGUGCUUGAUCCAACUUACCAUUACUUGAGUACAUAAAAAUCAAGGAAUUAGCAAUGGAUAAAUCCCACUCCAUUCCUCUCCUAAUAAUCCAUCCAUGAAUUUGAAUUCCUAGCUGUGGAGAAGAUACAUUUGCAAGAAUUGAGGAAAUUGCCAAUGAAUCCAACUCAACUCCAUCUUGAAGCAUCCUACGGAAAGUGUGCAAUGCCUCCACUAGCAGCCCGUGACGAACGUAACCCGUGAGCAUGGAAUUCCAGGAAACAGAGACCUUACAAGCGAUGUUGUCGAAUAUCCUUCGAGCCUUAACAAUGUCACCACAUUUAGCGUACAUAUCAACAAGAGCAUUUAGCGCAUACCCAUUAUUUGCGAACCCCAAUCGGACUAAAUCCCUGUGCACUGCCUCGCCAACUUGAAUUAGACCAAGUCCCCCACAAGCUUUCAACACGCGAGGAAAAGUGAAUUGGUCCGGUUCAACACCUUCUUCUUCCAUUUGAAAAUAAAGAGCGAUGGCAUCUUCAUAUAGACCCAGUUCAGUAUACCCAGCAAUGACCGAGUUCCAAGCAAAGGCCGACUCAUCUCUGUUAGCCAUUUCAUCAAACAACUUGUGAGCUUCAUCCAUAUGCCCACAGGAAGCGUAAAGCCUGACUAAUUUCGAUGCAAUACCCGUGUUUUUACGUAAAAGAGUGUUGGGUAUCAGCUGGUGAAUCCUGAUACCGUGACCAAUAGCAUUUAACUGGUAGCAUGUUUCUAA